CAAUAGCGUAUAUUAAAGUUGUUGCAGUUAAAAAGCUCGUAGUUGGAUUUGUGGUGUACUUUGGCGGCCCGUCACACUGUGAUGGAGCUUGCUGAAGUCGCCAUCCUUGGGUGGAUCCUGUGUGGCAUUAAGUUGUCGUGCAGGGGAUGCCCAUCGUUUACUGUGAAAAAAUUAGAGUGUUCAAAGCAGGCUUAUGCCGUUGAAUAUAUUAGCAUGGAAUAAUAAGAUAGGACCUUGGUACUAUUUUGUUGGUUUGCGCACCAAGGUAAUGAUUAAUAGGGACAGUUGGGGGUAUUCGUAUUUCAUUGUCAGAGGUGAAAUUCUUGGAUUUUUGAAAGACGAACUACUGCGAAAGCAUUUACCAAGGAUGUUUUCAUUAA
rnacentral:rRNA from 1 species